rnacentral:lncRNA from 1 species
UAUAAGGGGAAGAAAAGGCGGCUAAGAUAGGUUAAAGGGGGUGCUAUAGUUUGAUAUGAAUUUUUGUAAAAGGUGAAGGUGAGAUCCGACAACAAAAAGCAUGACAAAGAGUAUGGGGCUUCAUCGCGGCACUCUAGAGGGUCGAUCAAGUUGUCUAUACACUAGAAGAACAUGACCAACAAGCGACAUUCCGUCAGUAACUUCAUAGACACACCGUCAGUAACUUCAUAGACACAUCGGUGGCUUCUGUUGGUAAGUGUACCACAAGAGAGCUCUUUCUGGCAUUCGAAGAAGAGUUGUCGGCCACCGAAGAAGACUUGGUUACCACUAGAGAAGCCUUGUCAGUAUUCCUUCGCUAAGUUUUCGGUCGGUAAUCCCUUGGUAACUUCCUUUGAUAAUUACAACAUACUUUCAUCGACGGAUGCUCAAGGUCGGCUCAGGCCCCGUGCAGGGUGUGCAACCGCACAGGACCCACUAACUGUGGGACGAAAAAUUAAAAAAAAAUUAUUUGU